rnacentral:rRNA from 1 species
GCCAGACUCCUACGGGAGGCAGCAGUGAGGAAUAUUGGUCAAUGGGCGGGAGCCUGAACCAGCCAAGUCGCGUGAGGGAUGACGGCCCUACGGGUUGUAAACCUCUUUUGCCGGGGAGCAAAGAGCGGGACGCGUCCCGCCUCGAGAGUACCCGGAGAAAAAGCAUCGGCUAACUCCGUGCCAGCAGCCGCGGUAAUACGGAGGAUGCGAGCGUUAUCCGGAUUUAUUGGGUUUAAAGGGUGCGCAGGCGGAAGCGCAAGUCAGCGGUAAAAUGUCCGGGCUCAACCCGGGCCGGCCGUUGAAACUGGGGAUCUUGAGUGGGCGAGAAGUAUGCGGAAUGCGUGGUGUAGCGGUGAAAUGCAUAGAUAUCACGCAGAACUCCGAUUGCGAAGGCAGCAUACCGGCGCCCGACUGACGCUGAGGCACGAAAGCGUGGGGAUCGAACAGGAUUAGAUACCCCCGUAAC